rnacentral:ncRNA from 2 species
GCGCCUGCUCCGGGGUGCACGUAGGAUUAAUUUCCUGGGCGUGCUGAGAUGGCGGACCUGACCGCCGGAACCGCGAACUUGAUCUGGUUAGUACCAGCGUAAGAAGAGCUGCAAUGGAAGAG